rnacentral:rRNA from 2 species
AGAGUUUGAUCAUGGCUCAGAUUGAACGCUGGCGGCAGGCCUAACACAUGCAAGUCGAGCGGUAGCACAGAGAGCUUGCUCUCGGGUGACGAGCGGCGGACGGGUGAGUAAUGUCUGGGAAACUGCCUGAUGGAGGGGGAUAACUACUGGAAACGGUAGCUAAUACCGCAUAAUGUCGCAAGACCAAAGUGGGGGACCUUCGGGCCUCAUGCCAUCAGAUGUGCCCAGAUGGGAUUAGCUAGUAGGUGGGGUAACGGCUCACCUAGGCGACGAUCCCUAGCUGGUCUGAGAGGAUGACCAGCCACACUGGAACUGAGACACGGUCCAGACUCCUACGGGAGGCAGCAGUGGGGAAUAUUGCACAAUGGGCGCAAGCCUGAUGCAGCCAUGCCGCGUGUGUGAAGAAGGCCUUCGGGUUGUAAAGCACUUUCAGCGGGGAGGAAGGCGGUGAGGUUAAUAACCUCAUCGAUUGACGUUACCCGCAGAAGAAGCACCGGCUAACUCCGUGCCAGCAGCCGCGGUAAUACGGAGGGUGCAAGCGUUAAUCGGAAUUACUGGGCGUAAAGCGCACGCAGGCGGUCUGUCAAGUCGGAUGUGAAAUCCCCGGGCUCAACCUGGGAACUGCAUUCGAAACUGGCAGGCUAGAGUCUUGUAGAGGGGGGUAGAAUUCCAGGUGUAGCGGUGAAAUGCGUAGAGAUCUGGAGGAAUACCGGUGGCGAAGGCGGCCCCCUGGACAAAGACUGACGCUCAGGUGCGAAAGCGUGGGGAGCAAACAGGAUUAGAUACCCUGGUAGUCCACGCCGUAAACGAUGUCGAUUUGGAGGUUGUGCCCUUGAGGCGUGGCUUCCGGAGCUAACGCGUUAAAUCGACCGCCUGGGGAGUACGGCCGCAAGGUUAAAACUCAAAUGAAUUGACGGGGGCCCGCACAAGCGGUGGAGCAUGUGGUUUAAUUCGAUGCAACGCGAAGAACCUUACCUGGUCUUGACAUCCACAGAACUUAGCAGAGAUGCUUUGGUGCCUUCGGGAACUGUGAGACAGGUGCUGCAUGGCUGUCGUCAGCUCGUGUUGUGAAAUGUUGGGUUAAGUCCCGCAACGAGCGCAACCCUUAUCCUUUGUUGCCAGCGGUUAGGCCGGGAACUCAAAGGAGACUGCCAGUGAUAAACUGGAGGAAGGUGGGGAUGACGUCAAGUCAUCAUGGCCCUUACGACCAGGGCUACACACGUGCUACAAUGGCAUAUACAAAGAGAAGCGACCUCGCGAGAGCAAGCGGACCUCAUAAAGUAUGUCGUAGUCCGGAUUGGAGUCUGCAACUCGACUCCAUGAAGUCGGAAUCGCUAGUAAUCGUAGAUCAGAAUGCUACGGUGAAUACGUUCCCGGGCCUUGUACACACCGCCCGUCACACCAUGGGAGUGGGUUGCAAAAGAAGUAGGUAGCUUAACCUUCGGGAGGGCGCUUACCACUUUGUGAUUCAUGACUGGGGUGAAGUCGUAACAAGGUAACCGUAGGGGAACCUGCGGUUG